CGAACGGGUGAGUAACACGUGGGCAAUCUGCCCUGCACUCUGGGACAAGCCCUGGAAACGGGGUCUAAUACCGGAUAUGAGCCUGGGAGGCAUCUCCUGGGUUGUAAAGCUCCGGCGGUGCAGGAUGAGCCCGCGGCCUAUCAGCUUGUUGGUGAGGUAACGGCUCACCAAGGCGACGACGGGUAGCCGGCCUGAGAGGGCGACCGGCCACACUGGGACUGAGACACGGCCCAGACUCCUACGGGAGGCAGCAGUGGGGAAUAUUGCACAAUGGGCGCAAGCCUGAUGCAGCGACGCCGCGUGAGGGAUGACGGCCUUCGGGUUGUAAACCUCUUUCAGCAGGGAAGAAGCGCAAGUGACGGUACCUG
rnacentral:rRNA from 1 species